rnacentral:rRNA from 1 species
CGGUGAAGCAGAGCUUGCUCUGUGGAUCAGUGGCGAACGGGUGAGUAACACGUGAGCAACCUGCCCCUGACUCUGGGAUAAGCGCUGGAAACGGCGUCUAAUACCGGAUAUGAGCUGCGAAGGCAUCUUCAGCAGUUGGAAAGAUUUUUCGGUCUGGGAUGGGCUCACGGCCUAUCAGCUUGUUGGUGAGGUAAUGGCUCACCAAGGCGUCGACGGGUAGCCGGCCUGAGAGGGUGACCGGCCACACUGGGACUGAGACACGGCCCAGACUCCUACGGGAGGCAGCAGUGGGGAAUAUUGCACAAUGGGCGAAAGCCUGAUGCAGCAACGCCGCGUGAGGGAUGACGGCCUUCGGGUUGUAAACCUCUUUUAGCAGGGAAGAAGCGAAAGUGACGGUACCUGCAGAAAAAGCGCCGGCUAACUACGUGCCAGCAGCCGCGGUAAUACGUAGGGCGCAAGCGUUAUCCGGAAUUAUUGGGCGUAAAGAGCUCGUAGGCGGUUUGUCGCGUCUGCUGUGAAAUCCCGAGGCUCAACCUCGGGCCUGCAGUGGGUACGGGCAGACUAGAGUGCGGUAGGGGAGAUUGGAAUUCCUGGUGUAGCGGUGGAAUGCGCAGAUAUCAGGAGGAACACCGAUGGCGAAGGCAGAUCUCUGGGCCGUAACUGACGCUGAGGAGCGAAAGGGUGGGGAGCAAACAGGCUUAGAUACCCUGGUAGUCCACCCCGUAAACGUUGGGAACUAGUUGUGGGGUCCAUUCCACGGAUUCCGUGACGCAGCUAACGCAUUAAGUUCCCCGCCUGGGGAGUAC